rnacentral:rRNA from 1 species
ACGAACGCUGGCGGCGUGCUUAACACAUGCAAGUCGAACGGAAAGGCCUUUUCGGAGGUACUCGAGUGGCGAACGGGUGAGUAACACGUGGGUGAUCUGCCCUGCACUCUGGGAUAAGCCUGGGAAACUGGGUCUAAUACCGGAUAGGACCGCACUUUAGUGUGCGUGGUGGAAAGUUUUUUCGGUGUAGGAUGAGCCCGCGGCCUAUCAGCUUGUUCGUGGGGUAAUGGCCUACCAAGGCGGCGACGGGUAGCCGGACUGAGAGGUUGGUCGGCCACAUUGGGACUGAGACACGGCCCAGACUCCUACGGGAGGCAGCAGUGGGGAAUAUUGCACAAUGGGCGCAAGCCUGAUGCAGCGACGCCGCGUGGGGGAUGACGGCCUUCGGGUUGUAAACUCCUUUCGCCAGGGACGAAGCGUUUUGUGACGGUACCUGGAGAAGAAGCACCGGCUAACUACGUG